CGACCGCGACCGGGUGAACGCGGGCCCGCUCGAGCCAUGGACUAGAAGAGGCCUGCCUGCCGAGAAGCGCUCUCGUGCGAUCCCUGCUGGAUCCCUGUUGGAUCCUGACGGCUUGGACUGUCCCCCGGCCCGCCACCCCGCCCCGGCCACCCCUCUCGGCCUCGCCGCAAAGUGUGUCGGCAGGGUCGUGUCGCGCGUGCGCGCCCGCGAGCGCGUAGGUGUGCCCAUAGCGUGUCCGUGUGCGCGGCCGCGCUCCAGUGUCAGUGCGCUCACGAGCACGGGGGCCGCGCGGCGGGAUGGCGCGGGCUGCGGGGCCCAGGCCCCACGGGAACGACGCCGGGCCCGAGGCUCGGGCCCCUCGCCGCCCGGACUCGACGACCGCCCUGGACGCCAAGGGCCGCGCCCUGGCGGCGGCGGUGAUCCUCCUCGCCGGGACUCACCUGGCUGCUUCCCUGAGACACGGAAUCGAAUGCCCCCUGGGAAUGUUCCGAUGCCCGGAGGGCAAGUGCAUCCCGGCGUCUUGGGUCUGCAAUUACCAGAGGGACUGCGAUAACGCCGAAGAUGAGUUCCAGUCCUGUCCUCCUCCGGACUGCGACGUGGGCCAGAUUACCUGCAGCCAGUACAUCUUCAACAAGACGUACUGCAUACCGCCUCAUCAGAGAUGCGACAUGAAGGUCGAUUGCGUCGACGGGACCGACGAGGCAGGCUGCAGUUACAGGAAGUGCCAACGAGACGACUUCAGGUGCGGCGGCACCACCCCGGAGCUCUGUUUGCCGAAGGAGAAGAGGUGCGACGGGUACCUGGACUGCAGGAACGGCAAGGACGAGGAGAAGUGCGUCACCCUUUACCCCCCCUGCAGGUUAGACCAGUUCAGGUGCAACGUCACCAAGAGAUGCGUCGAGCAGAGUGCCAGGUGCAACCACAAGGACGACUGCGGGGACAAUAGCGACGAGGAGCACUGCAGCUUUCCGCCGUGCACCAGCGACCAGUUCCGCUGCGCCAACGCACUCUGCAUCCCGGUGGGGUACCAGUGCGACGGGUACAAGGACUGCGACGACGGGUCCGACGAGAAGUCCUGCACGGCGACGGUGUGUCCUGGGAAUAAAUUCAUGUGUCCGCAAGGAGCGCCCGGAGGGAAGCCGCUCUGCAUAAAUCGGUCCCAGCUCUGCGACGGCAAGGAGGACUGCGAGGACAGCGCCGACGAGGAGGCCGCUUGCUCCUCGGAUAUGUGCCCGCUGCUGAGCUGCCAGUACAACUGCCAGUCCUCCCCUGCAGGAGGGGUGUGCAUCUGCCCCGAGGGCCAGGUCCUCGCCAACGACACCAGGACGUGUACAGACAGGAACGAGUGCGCCGAGUGGGGCUUCUGCGAGCAGCUCUGCACGAACACCGAAGGCUCCUACGACUGCAGCUGCGCCCCAGGAUACGUGCUGCACGGGGACAACAAGUGUCGGGCCCAGAACGGGAGCCUGGAACUGCUGGUGGCCCAGGAACGAGCGAUCUGGCGGAUGGGAGCCACCGGCGGGGACCAGAAGCUGGUGGCCAAUACUACCGGGGCCAGCGGCGUCGAUUUCCUCUACUCCAAGAACCUCCUCUUCUGGAGCGAUCUCAAGACCCACAAGGUCCUCUCGCAGCCCCUGAACGAGAAUCCGGACAACGCGGUCAACAUGGAUAUCUACUUACCGGGGUCCUGGUCGCCGGUCGCCCUGGCGGUCGACUGGGUCGGCGAGAAGCUCUACGUGGUCGACUCGAUCGUCCAGAAGAUCGACGUCUUCGAGCUGGACGGCCGUUUCCACGGGGUGGCCCUAGGCUCCAACCUGACGAGCCCCAACGACAUCGCCUUGGACCCCACCGUGGGUAUCAUGUUCAUCGCCGACAGCAAACAGGUCCUUAGAGCCAACAUGGACGGCACGUCCUCCUUCCCCGUCGUCUCCGAGGCGGCCUACAAGGUGUCCGGGGUCGCCGCCGACAUCAUCGCCAAGAGGAUCUUCUGGUGCGACUCCCAGUUGGAUUAUAUAGAGACCGCGGACUACAUGGGUCGCGGGAGGACGAUGAUCAUCCGCGGCUCCCACGUCCCGUCCCCGGUGAGGCUCACCCUCUUCGAGAACAGGAUCUACUGGACCGACAAUACGAAGCAGGCGGUGACGAGCGUGGACAAGACUCAGGGGGUGUACUCCAUCCAGACCAUCUUCAAGACCAGCGACGCCAAGGCCAUCAAGGCCCUCCACGCCCUGGCCCAGCCCCCGGUGUCGAACCCCUGCGGGAACAACAACGGAGGGUGUCAGCACAUGUGCAUCGUCACCGCGGCAGGUGGGAGGGAAUCCGGACUGGCCUACAGGUGCGCCUGCGACAUCGGCUGGCGACUCUCGGCCGACCUCAGGUUCUGCAACCUGGUCGAGGAGUUCCUCAUGUAUUCCCAGCAGAGGUUCAUCAAGGGCCGGGUCCUGGACCCGGUGAUGGAGGGCUUCAGCGACGCCAUCCUGCCCGUCGUCUCGAGGAGGGCCCGAUUCGUGGGCCUCGACUACGACGCCCAUGAUCAGUACAUCUACUACAGCGACGUUCUCCAGGACGUCAUCUACAGGGUCCAUCAGAACGGCACCGGCAGGGAGAUCGUCCUGGCCAGCCAGAACGAGGGCGUGGAGGGACUGGCCGUCGACUGGGCCGCGAAGAACCUCUACUACAUCGACUCGAGGAAGGGUACCCUGAACGUCCUCAGCACCAGGAACGUCACCUACCGCAGGACCUUGCUGAAGAACCUGAAGAGACCGCGCGCCAUCGUGGUCCACCCGAACCACGGGUUCAUCUUCUUCUCCGAGUGGGACCGACCGGCGAACAUCAGUAGGGCCCACGCGGACGGGUCCAACCUGAUGGUCUUCAAGAACCUCACCCUGGGCUGGCCCAACGGCCUCGCGAUAGACUUCACCAAAGACAGACUGUAUUGGUGCGACGCCCUUCUGGACCACGUGGAGCACUCCAACCUGGACGGGAGCGACGUCAGGACCGUCAACUCCAGGCUCAUCAGGCAUCCCUUCUCCAUAGCGAUCCACAAGCAGUGGAUGUACAUCACGGAUUGGCGACUGGACGCCAUAAUCAGGCUCCACAAGGAAACCGGCGAGCAGGAGGCCAUCCUGGUCCGGGAACCGGCUACGAAUCGACUCUACGGGGUGAAGGUGUUCAGUCGCGACGUCCAGAGCCCUAGUGCGGGCCAUCCCUGUCAGAUAAACAACGGAGGCUGCGAGAAACUCUGUUUCGCCGUCCCCACGAACAACAGCGAGCACCCGACCAGGUUGACCAGCGUCUGCGGGUGUCCUUACGGGGAGAGGCUGAGGAGCGACGCUCGCACCUGCACGGCCGACCCCGAGGCCGAGCCUCCACUUCAGGCCUGCCCCAACAGCUGGGACUUCACCUGCGCGAACCAACGCUGCGUCCCCCAGUCCUGGGUCUGCGACGGCGACGACGACUGCCUGGACAAGAGCGACGAGAUGCAGAACUGCACCAAGCCCACCUGCGGGCCCAACGAGUUCCAGUGCCAGAACGGCAGGUGCGUGCCCCUCAGCUUCAGGUGCGACUCCGGGAACGACUGCGGGGACUACAGCGACGAGAUGGCCUGCCCGAACGUGACCUGCAGCGCGAAUCAGUUCACCUGCGAGAACAACCGGUGCAUCCCGGCGACCUGGAAGUGCGACUUGGAGAACGACUGCGGGGACAGCUCGGACGAAGGUGCCUUCUGCGCUGCCAAGACCUGCUCCUACUUCCAGUUCACCUGCCCCAGGUCGGGCCACUGCAUCCCCCAGUCCUGGGUCUGCGACGGGGACAACGACUGCUUCGACCAGCAGGACGAGAUGGACUGUCCGCCCGUCACCUGCCUCAGCACCCAGUUCACCUGCGCCGACCAGAAGAUGUGCGUCCUCGAGUCCUACAAGUGCGACGGGAUCUCCGACUGCAACGACGGCAGCGACGAGCUCGGCUGUCCUUCUCUAGCCCCAGAUCAGUGUAAUCCUGAGAAGCAGUUCCAGUGCGCCAGCUCCGUCAUCUGCAUCCCUCGCAGCUGGUACUGCGACGGGACCGUCGACUGCCAGGACAAGUCGGACGAGCCAGACACCUGUCGGCAGUCCGAGUGCCAGCCCGGGUAUCAUCGGUGCCAGAACGGUAAGUGUGUCUUCAAGGCCUACAUCUGCGACGGCAAGGACGACUGCGGGGACGGCUCCGACGAGGACACCCGACUCCAUGCCUGCGGACCCCCCGAGUUCAAGUGCGAGUCCCACGAGUGGAAGUGCCCCAAUGUGACGAAUCGCUGCGUCAACGUCACCAGCGUCUGCGACGGCAAGCCGGACUGCCCCAACGGCGCCGACGAGGGCAUCGGAUGCGACCUUGCCGAGUGCCGGUUGCAGGGAGGAUUCUGCAGCAACGGCUGCCUGCAGACCCCCCUCGGAGCCCAGUGCACCUGCCCCAUCGGUGAAGAACUGGGCCCCGAUGAAUUCACCUGCCAGGACCUGAACGAGUGCGACCCUCCCGGUCGGUGCUCCCAGAUCUGCGUCAACACCAAGGGCAGCUACUUCUGCAACUGCGUGGACGGCUACGUCCUAGAGAGGGACCGGCACACCUGCAAGGCCUUCAACCAGAGUGCGGCUUUCCUCAUCAUCUCCAACAGGCACACCAUCCUGGUGGCUGAUCUGAAGGACCAGGCUCUGGAGAGGGUCCCGAUCAACGUGGAGAACGUGGUCGCUACCGCGAGUAACAUGCACACCGGCACGAUCUUCUGGUCGGACAUGAAGCUGAAGAAGAUCUCCAGGCUGGACAGGGGCAGCGACCCCCAGGACGUCAUCUCCACUGGACUCGAUCUCGUCGAAGGCCUGGCCUACGACUGGAUUGGGCAGAACCUCUACUGGCUGGAUUCUAAGCUCAACACCAUCGAGGUCGCCAAGGAGACCGGGACCAACAGGAUGGUCCUCGUCAAGGAGAACAUCACUCAGCCCAGGGGCAUGUGCCUGGACCCCAGCCCUGGCGCCAGGUGGCUCUUCUGGACCGACUGGGGCGAGAACCCCCGCAUCGAGAGGAUCGGCAUGGACGGGACCAAUCGGUCCGUCAUCGUCAACACCAAGAUCUACUGGCCCAACGGCCUGGCCCUCGACAUCGCCACGAAGAGGAUCUACUUCGCCGACAGCAAGCUGGACUUCAUCGACACCUGUCUCUACGACGGCACCGGGAGGCAGCAGGUGCUGGGAGGGUCCCACUAUUUGUUGCAUCCCCACUCGCUGACCCUCUUCGAGGACACCAUGUACUGGACCGACCGGCAGCUCAACAGGGUGCUCUCGGCCCACAAGUUCAUGGGGUCGAACCAGACGGUGGUGUCGCACCUGAUCUCCCAGCCCCUGUCGAUCCACGUCCACCACCCGGUCCUGCAGCCCAUUACCCCGAAUCCUUGCGCCAACGCCACCUGCGCCCACCUGUGUCUACUCUCUCCCAGCAGCUCCACCGGCUACACCUGCAGGUGUCAGGUAGGCUUCAGGCUGCAGCCGGACGGUCGCUGUACCGAGGAGGAGACCCCCUACCUGAUGAUCCUACGCGGAUCCCAGAUCGUCGACGUCUCCCUCGUCGCCGGCGACUCCAAGACGGGAUACAUCACCCCCGUGGUCGGGGUCGAGGGCGGCAAGUUCAUCGACUACGACCGCAGGGAUCGCGUCAUUUACUGGCUACAGGGUAAGGACGGCGACGACGAGAACGGCACCAUCUACACGAUUCCCUACGGCGGAGGAAACCGCACCGAGUUCCCCAAUCCUGGGGGAGACAGCGGUAUCGUCGGGUCCCCGUCCACCAUGGCGCUCGACUGGCUCGGCAGGAACCUCUUCAUCGGGAAUCGCUUUGCCUCGAACAUCGAGGCGAUCAAGAUCGACGGGAAGAACCGAUACAGGACCAUCGUCCUGGCCAACGACGGGAACAGGACCUCGGUGGCCAAGCCUAGGUCCAUGUGCGUGGACCCGCUCGAGGGCCACGUCUUCUGGGUGGACGACGGCGACUUCGGGGUGCCCAUGAAGAUCGGCCGAGUCAACAUGGACGGUACCAACCCCCUGGUCCUGGUGGAGAACGCCACUAGGCUCGAGGCCAUCGCCAUCGACAUCCCGACGAGGACCAUCUACUUCAGCCAGCAGCACCCCACCUUCGUCAAGGCCAUGUCUACGGACGGCGGGAACGUCAGGACCAUCUUGUCGGCGGUGAACAAUAUCGCCCUGCCGAAGGCCUUGGCCGUUCACGAGUCCAGGUUGUACUACCUGGACCCGCUCUACGACAAGGUGGAGAAGGUGGACCUACCGGGCGGGAACAAUCCGCAGACAAUCAUCCAGAACGACUCCGAGCUGAGGACCCUGACCAUCUACAAGAAGAGGGCCACCGGGACCCAUCCCUGUCUGGUCAGCAACGGAGGCUGCGAGCAGAUCUGCCUGCCCUCUUCAGGGGGCACCAGGGUAUGCGCCUGUGGCCUGGAGUACCGCAAGGUCGACGAGACCAGGUGCGAGCCCUUCAAGACCUUCGCCGUGGUGACCCAGCUGGACGUGGCUCGGGGAUACAGCUUGAAGGACGCGAAAGAGGCCAUGGUCCCCAUAGCAGGGGUCGGGCAUCACAUCCUACACGUAGACGUCCACUACGCGGCCAACUGGAUCUACUGGGUGGAGUUCAACCGCGGGAUCUGGAACGGCAUCUUCAGGGUCAGACCGAAUGGCACGGAGAUGCAACAGGUGAUCAAGGAGGGCAUAGGCUCCAACGGCAUCCGGGGCCUGACCAUCGACUGGAUCGCCGGGAACCUGUACUUUGCGAACGUCUUCCCCCACGACAACUACGUCGAGGUCUGCUGGCUGGACGGGUCCAACCGGAAGGUGCUGGUGAAGACCACGACGGACUCGCCCAGGGAGCUGGCCGUCAACCCCAUCAAGAGGAUCCUGUACUGGAUAGACUAUGGACAGUACCCCAGGAUAGGCAAGGCGAAUCUGGACGGCAGCAACUGGACCGAGAUCGUCACCACCGGGAUUAGCACUCCUCGGGACCUGACCAUCGAUCCCAUGACCCACGACGUUUACUGGGUCGACUCCACCCUGGACACCAUCCAAAAGGUCUCGUUCACUGGGAGCAAUCAACAGGUGAUCAGGCGGAACCUGCCCAACCCCAUGGGGGUCGCCAUCUACGGCAUGGAGGUCUUCUGGGUCGACAGGAACCUGGCGACCGUCUUCAAGGCCAGCAAGCAGCCCAGUCUCGGCGUUCCCACCCUGCCGACCCCGCUCAGGACCAACCUGCAGAAGCUCCGGGACAUUGCCAUCUUCGACGAGAGCAGCCAGCCCAUGGACGGCACGAACCCCUGCAUCGCGACCCCCAACGGCGGCUGCCAGCAGCUCUGCUUCGCCUUCCCCCCGAGCUAUCCCCAGUCCUACAGGUGCGACUGCGCCACCGGGAAGCUGGCGAAGGGCGGCAAGACCUGCGAGACCAUCGACGAGUUCCUGGUGUUCGCCACCAGGACCGAGAUCCGCGGGAUCAACCUCGACCCUCGGGCGACGAACGUCCCGUUCAAGCCCGUGGGGAACCUCACCAACGUCGUCGGGGUGGACUUCGACUACGAGGACAAGAAGCUCCUCUUCACCCAGAUCAGACCCUGGGCGAAGAUCGCCUGGAUGCAGGCGGAGAGCCCCUCCUCGAGCGACAUCCACACCCUGAUCAGUAAGGGCAUCAACCCCGAGGGCAUCUCCUACGACUGGACCCAGAAGAAGGUCUACUGGACGGAUUCCUCCAACAACAGCAUCUACGCGAUGAACAUCGACGGGUCCGACCUCGUCAUGAUCGCCAGGGUCGACAGGCCCAGGGCCAUCGUCGUCGACCCCUGCAACGGGACCCUGUACUUCACCGACUGGGGCCGCUUCGGGACAUCCGGGAAGAUCUUCCGCACCACGAUGGCCGGCUCCCUGAAGAGGACCAUCAUCGAGAAGGACCUCUCCCAGCCGAGUGGCCUGGCCAUCGACUACGACGACCGGAUGCUCUACUGGACCGACGCCGUCAGGGAGAAGAUCGAGAGGUCCGACCUGGACGGCAAAAAUCGACAGGUCCUGGUCUCCGCCACCAUCUACCCCUUCGCCAUCACCGUCUUCAGGGAGCACAUCUACUGGACGGAUCUCCAGCUUAGGGGCGUCUAUCGCGCCGAGAAGCACACCGGCGCCGACAAGGUCGAGCUCGUCAAGAGGCUCGAGGACUCCCCCAGGGAUCUCCACGUCUAUUCACCUGCCAGGCAGCUCUGCAAGGUGAACCCUUGCAACAUCAACAAGGGUGGCUGCGACCAGUCCUGCCAUCCUGGGAUAAAUGGAUCAGCCGAGUGCAAGUGCGACGACGGCAGCAGACUCGUCAACGAGGGCAGGAUGUGCGUCCCUAAGAACGUCACCUGCGACGAGAGCAAAUUCGCCUGCAGGAACGGCAGGUGUUUGUCCAGGAUGUGGGCCUGCGACGGGGACGACGACUGCGGGGACGGCUCCGACGAGGACACGGUUUACUGCUCUCACCACUCGUGCAGCCCGAACGAGUUCAGGUGCAGGAACGGCAGGUGCAUCUUCAAGUCGUGGAAGUGCGACCACGAGAACGACUGCCGGGACGGCAGCGACGAGGAGGGCUGCGUGUACCCGCCCUGCGCCGCAGGUGAGUUCACCUGCGCGAACCACAGGUGCAUCCCGCAGUCGCAGGUAUGCAACGGAGUGAACGACUGCAAGGACAACGCCACCUCGGACGAGACGCACGAGCGGUGUCCCCAGAACACGACCUGCCCCCUGAACCACCUGAAGUGCGAGAAGACGAACAUCUGCGUGGAGCCCUACUGGCUGUGCGACGGCGACAACGACUGCGGGGACAACAGCGACGAGAACCCCCUGCACUGCGCCCAGCGCACCUGUCCCCAGAACAGCUUCAGGUGCCCGAACCACAGGUGCAUCCCAGCGACCUGGUACUGCGACGGGGACGACGACUGCCUCGACGGAAGCGACGAGCCCCCUGGCUACUGCCAAUCGGAGGGCCGCACCUGCUUCGGCGACCUGUUCACCUGCGACAACGGGAACUGCAUCCCCAGGAUCUACAUCUGCGACGGGGACAACGAUUGCCUGGACAACUCGGACGAGGACGACCGGCACCAGUGCAACGACAGGAAGUGCGACGAGGAGACGGAGUUCACCUGCACGGCGAACAAGGUCUGGAACCGGGCGCAGUGCAUCCCUAAAAAGUGGCUCUGCGACGGAGACCCCGACUGCGUGGACGGCGCCGACGAGAACGUCACCUUGCACCACUGCCCGGAGCCUACACCUUGUGCGGAGAACCAGUUCACCUGCGACAAUGGCCGGUGUCUUAAUCGAAACUGGCUCUGCGACCACGACAACGACUGCGGGGACGGCAGCGACGAGGGCAAGUUCUGCAACACCCAGUACAAGAAGUGCACCACCCUGGAGUACACCUGCCAGAACUUCAAGUGCAUCAGGAGGCAGUUCCGCUGCGACGGGCAAGAUGACUGUGGGGACCGCUCGGACGAAGUCGGGUGUCCUACCAAGGGGAAGAACAAUACCUGCGCCCAGCAGGGCGAGUUCAUGUGCGCCAGCGGAAGCUGCAUCGACCAGAGGCUCGUCUGCAACAAGGAGCCCGACUGCGCCGACGAGAGCGACGAGCCUGCCCACUGCAACGUCGACGAGUGCGCCAGGGUGGAGUUGAACCAGUGCGGGCACUACUGCGUGGAUACGCCCACGAGUUACUACUGCGAGUGCAAUCCUGGAUACAAGCUCCUGGAGGACGGGAAGGCCUGCGCGGACGUCGACGAGUGCAUAGAGACUCCCCAGGUGUGCAGCCAGCAGUGCGAGAACACCCCUGGAGGGUUCUACUGCAAGUGCAACGAGAAAUGGUACGAGAGGGCCGCCGACGAGCACACCUGCAAACGCAGGGACAACUCCGAGCCAUGGCUCAUCUUCACCAACAAGUACUACGUCAGGAACAUGUCCAUCGACGCCACCAGGUAUAGCCUGAUGCACCAGGACCUGAUCAACGUGGUCGCCCUGGACGCCGAUUACGCGAACGAGAUGCUCUACUUCUGCGACGUCACGGCUAAGACGAUAUACAGAGCUCCACUUAACGGAGGCGAGAAGGAGCCCAUCAUCCGGCACGACAGUCACGGAUUGGAGGGCAUCGCCAUAGAUUGGGUCGGUAGGAAGAUCUACUGGCUGGAUAGGCACUCGAAACACCUGGACGUGGCCGAGCUGGACGGGACCAACCGGAAGACCCUCAAGUCCGAGAUCGCGGACCCUAGGGCCAUCGUGGUGCAUCCCGGCACCGGGUACCUCUACUUUACCUCCUGGCACUUGCAGGCGUACAUCGGGAAGAUGGGGAUGGACGGCAGCAACUUCACGACGAUCCUGACCUGGGAGGACGACAUCGCCUGGCCGAACGCCCUGACGAUCGACUACUUCACCGACCGGAUCUUCUGGGCGGAUGCUCACCUGGAUUACAUAGCUUUCGCGGACCUGGAUGGUCAUCAUCGUCGCAUCGUCCUGUCGGGUCCGAAGGUGCCGCACAUCUUCGCCCUGACCGUCUUCGACGACUUCAUAUACUGGACCGACUGGAACCUGAAGGCGAUAAGCAGGGCGGAGAAGUUCUCCGGGGCGCAGUUGAGGCUCCUCAGGAACACCACUCAUAGGCCCUACGACAUCCACGUGUACCAUCCGCUUCGCCAGCUCCCUUACAACAACCCCUGUGCCCAAAACAACGGAGGGUGCUCUCACCUGUGCCUGAUCUCUCCCCCUGCCAGCUCCUAUCUCCUGGAAGGGUACGGCCAGCCCGGCAUCACCUCCUACAAGUGCAAGUGCCCCAACCAGUUCGUCCUGGACAAGGACGGGAAGACCUGCAUCGCCAACUGCACCGCUGGCCAGCACCACUGCGGUCCACCUGACGAGAAGUGCAUCCCCUGGUUCUGGAAAUGCGACGGCGAGCAGGACUGCAAGGAUGGAUCCGACGAGCCCAUCAGCUGCCACCCUCGCAACUGCAGGCCCGGGGUGUUCCAAUGCACCAAUGGAAACUGCACGUCCAGUGCCACGGUUUGCGACGGAGCCGACGACUGCGGGGACAGGAGCGACGAGGCCAACUGCUCGGCCGACUGUCCGGAGCUGGAGUUCAAGUGCAAGUCCAACGGCAGGUGCAUCCACGACUCGUGGAAGUGCGACGGGGACGCGGACUGCAAGGACGGCAGCGACGAGGACCCCGCGAUCUGUCAUAACAGAGAGUGCGACCCCAACACCGAGUUCAAGUGCAAGAACGGCAAGUGCAUCCCGAAGCUCUGGAUGUGCGACUUCGACAACGACUGCGGGGACGACAGCGACGAGCCCGCCUACAUGUGUCGGCAGAAGAACUGCACCACCGGGUGGCAGCGUUGUCCAGGUCACGCGAAUUACAGGUGCAUCCCGAAAUGGCUGUUCUGCGACGGGAAGGACGACUGCAGGGACGGGUCCGACGAACGACCCGAGAGCUGCCCCAAGUGCGACCCUGAGUCCGACUUCAAGUGCGCCAAUAAUCGCUGCGUCCCGAAACAAUGGCUCUGCGACUUUGCCGACGACUGCGGCGAUGGGAGCGACGAGGCCGAGGCGAUCUGCAAGUCCAAGUACAGGAGCUGCUCCGAGUCGGAGUUCAGGUGCAACAACGGGAAGUGCAUCGCCUCGAGGUGGAGGUGCGACAUGGAGGACGACUGCGGGGACAACAGCGACGAGAUCGAGUGCACGACCUUCGUCUGCAUGUCCUUGUCCUUCCAAUGCAGCAGCGGACACUGCAUCCCCGAGUACCUGACCUGUGACGGGACGCGGGAUUGUCGGGACAUGAGCGACGAGGUCGGCUGCUCCCCCAGGUACCCGAACGGGAGGUACUGUCCCGAGUCGAGGUUCCAGUGCGCCAACAACCUCUGCGUCUCCCUCUCGGACAGGUGCGACGGCACCGACGACUGCGGCGACGCCUCCGACGAGACUCUCGCGAUGUGCGCGAACUUCGUCUGCGACACCAAGAAGCGGUUCCAGUGCAACAACCACAAGUGCAUCGCCCGGUACCAGCUCUGCGACGGCAUCGACAACUGCGGGGACGGCUCCGACGAGAACAACAUGACGAUGUGCGCGACCAGGGUGCGACCUUGCGACAUCAUCACGGAGUACCAGUGCGCGAAUAAGAAGUGCAUAGACCGGCACAAGGUCUGCGACUAUGCCGACGACUGCGGGGACUCCUCCGACGAGCUGGGCUGCCACCCGAACAAGCAUUGCGGCGAGGGCAACAAGGGUGGGUGCGCCCACUAUUGUCACAACAUCACCGAGGGCGGGUACAUCUGCGCCUGCUACCCUGGGUACAUCAUCUCCCAGGACAACCGGAAGCAGUGCGAGGACAUCGACGAGUGCAAGACCGGGCAGCACCACUGCUCGCAGCUCUGCGCUAACCUGAACGGCACGUACUCCUGCUCCUGUCGGCAAGGAUUCCGUCUGACCGACAACCAGAGCGGCGUCUGCAGGGCCGACGACGAGGACUCCGUGCUGGUCUUCGGGGACGGAUCAGAGAUCCGAGCCUACAACCUGCACAAACGCGAGGUCACCGACGUCCUGACCCAGGAGAAGAGGGUCCAGUCCAUCGACUUCGAUCCGAGGGCUGAGUACAUAUACUGGAUCGACUCCUACGACAAGACGAUCAAGAGGUCGUACAUGAUCAACGCGAGGUACGGCGAGGUGAAGAAGGGCUACGCGCAGGAUCUGAAGACGAAGUCGAAGGCCUGGCCUACCAGUAUAGCUGUGGACUGGGUGGCCGAGAACCUGUACUGGACCGAGGUGGACAACUCCGGCGCCCUGCCAAAGGGUCGCAUCGUGGUGGCCAAGUCGGACAGCAGGUACAGGAGGAGCCUCAUCACCGAGGGCAUCGAGACGCCGACGUCGAUCGCGGUGGACCCCGAGAAGGGGAUGCUGUACUGGGCGAACACUGGAGCGGAGCCGAUGAUCGAGGCUGCCUGGAUGGACGGGAUGAGCGACCGGAAGCCGCUCGUCGGCGACAAGAUCGCCUCCCCCAGGGCCCUGACCAUCGACUACGCCAUGGACCACACCAUCUACUGGGCGGACGAGAAGCUGAACACCAUAGAGUCCAUCAGGCCCGAUGGCACGAACCGCAGGAUCGUUAUGUCGAAGGAAAAUGCGAAACACCCUGGCUUCCUGGACGUCUUCGAGAGCAGCCUCUACUGGGUGACGAUGGAGGGCGAGCUCUAUCGGCAGGACAAGUUCGGCAGGGGCGUCAAGGAGCUCCUGAUCGAGGACAUCUUGACGCAGAGCGACCUGAAGGUGUACCACCCGCUCAGGUACAACACCACCUUGAGGAACCCUUGCUCCGGGUACCCGUGCUCCCACCUCUGCGUCAUCAAGCCCAGGGGCUACACCUGUCUGUGCCCCGACAACACGAGGACGAAGCAACCGGGCUUCGUCGGCGAGAGGGUCUGCGACGCCCCGGCCGAGAGGCCCAGGCCCGCACCCAGGGUAUGCCCCUGCCAGAACGGGGUCUGCACAGAGGCCAGCGAGGAUGAGAUGCUCUGCCUCUGUCCCCACAACUUCCAGGGGAGGUACUGCGAGAUCGGCCUGGUCGCCGCCAGGGCCGGGGGCUCCACAGCCGCCAUCGUGGUGCCGAUCGUCGUCGCCAUCCUGAUGCUCCUCGGCGCCGCGGCGGUCAUCUUGGUGCUGAAGAAACGGCCCUUCGGAAAACCCGGAGGUCUAGGGGGAUUGACCGGUGCCCAGAGCGUGUCCUUCAGGCAAGGCAGCAACGUGGAGUUCGGAGGAUCUUCUAACGAGAGGAUGGAACCGCUGGACGUGGAGUACAACCUGAGCGACGUGAGCAACAAGAACCGCGACUUCAGCAACCCCAUGUACGACGCGGUCAACAUGGAGACCGGUGGUACCAACGGUACCGGGGCCAGCAGCAUUUACGAGGUCCCAGCCGAGGUCAAGCCCUCCAGCGUGCAGCACAAAGAGCCCCCCCAGCUGCACCUGAAGAGGCGCGAGCUCGACCCCACGCCCAUCGACCUGGGCAAGGACACCCAGCAGCUGGUCGAGGAGGACAAGUCCGAGUGCUAGGUGGAAAGGAGACCUCGAAGAGCAGCCCGAGUGCGUAGAGACGUUUGGAAUCGAUUCGAAAGAACCUCGAGGCUCCUUCACCCUGAAGAGGACCCUGAAGAGGACUCUGAAGAGCCGCCUUCCUCUUGCGCGAUCCCCCCGAGACUCGGCACGUGGAUUCGCUCUCGAGGCCACAGAUAUACGAGUAAAUGGGGCACUCGAUGGGUUUCUUCUUUCGGGAGAUGUUUCGCCAGCUUCCCACCAGAUGGAGCCGGAGUAGGCGAAUCCAUAGAGCGGGAAAAAUAUUAAAAGGAUAUGAAAGGCGCU
rnacentral:misc_RNA from 1 species